rnacentral:rRNA from 1 species
CCCUUAGAUGUUCUGGGCUGCACCCGUGCUACACUGGCAGGUUCAGCGAGCUUCAUGCCCUGAUCUGAAAGGAAUGGGAAAUCUUUUCAAAACCUGCCGUGCUUGGGAUAGAUGUUUGCAAUUAUUCAUCUUCAACGAGGAUUGCCUUGUAAGCGCACGUCAUCAGCGUGUAUUGAAUACGACCCUGUAUUCUGUACACACCGCCCGUCGCUCCUACCGAUUGAAGUUUUCGGUGAGUUGACAGGAGGAUUUUUUUGAAACUGGUUCGCCAGUGGAUUUUAGAUCCAAAUGCCAACGAAUCGAUGGCUUUAGAGGAAGGAGAAGUCGUAACA